ACGUAGGGAGCGAGCGUUGUCCGGAAUUAUUGGGCGUAAAGGGUGCGUAGGCGGCAAUACAAGUCAGAUGUGAAAUCCCCGGGCUUAACUCGGGAGUUGCAUUUGAAACUGUAUAGCUUGAGUGAAGAAGAGGUAAGUGGAAUUCCUAGUGUAGCGGUGGAAUGCGUAGAUAUUAGGAGGAACACCAGUGGCGAAGGCGACUUACUGGUCUUUUACUGACGCUGAGGCACGAAAGCGUGGGGAGCAAACAG
rnacentral:rRNA from 1 species